rnacentral:rRNA from 1 species
GGUUGCGAUCAUACCAGCACUAAUGCACCGGAUCCCAUCAGAACUCCGCAGUUAAGCGUGCUUGGGCGAGUGUAGUACUAGGAUGGGUGACCCCCUGGGAAGUCCUCGUGUUGCAACCCC